GAUGAACGCUGGCGGCGUGCCUAAUACAUGCCAGUCGAGCGAACAGACGAGGAGCUUGCUCCUCUGACGUUAGCGGCGGACGGGUGAGUAACACGUGGAUAACCUACCUAUAAGACUGGGAUAACUUCGGGAAACCGGAGCUAAUACCGGAUAAUAUAUUGAACCACAUGGUUCAAUAGUGAAAGACGGUUUUGCUGUCACUUAUAGAUGGAUCCGCGCCGCAUUAGCUAGUUGGUAAGGUAACGGCUUACCAAGGCAACGAUGCGUAGCCGACCUGAGAGGGUGAUCGGCCACACUGGAACUGAGACACGGCCCAGACUCCUACGGGAGGCAGCAGUAGGGAAUCUUCCGCAAUGGGCGAAAGCCUGACGGAGCAACGCCGCGUGAGUGAUGAAGGUCUUCGGAUCGUAAAACUCUGUUAUUAGGGAAGAACAAAUGUGUAAGUAACUAUGCACGUCUUGACGGUACCUAAUCAGAAAGCCACGGCUAACUACGUG
rnacentral:rRNA from 1 species